AAAAAUCGAACGAUCGAACGACAAAGUUGAUUCUUGUCGCAGAUAAUUCUGGAAUUCUCGAUUUGCUGACAAAACGGACAAUUCGAUCUGUUAUUACAGAGGCAAAUAGAAACGGUGAAUCUAUAAAUAAUCGAGUGGCUAUAACGGGAUAUAUAAUAACAGGGCCUCGAAUUAUUCAAGUACCGAGAGCAUAAUUAUCCAAUCGUUUGACUCCAGCUCCAUUCAAAGUCACCGGAGCAGCACGACAAGCAAUAACUUUUAGAUCCUGUGCCACGACGCCCCAUAUUUUACGAUUACAACGUCCACGUAGGUGAACGUGAUUGUCUGCGGCGAUGUUAUUUCAUAGUAGUCUGAUAUACUAUAUAACGAACGAGGCAACAGAGUUUCGAGCUGAUGCUGAUUUACCGACCUGGCAAUGAUUCCGUUUUGGUAAAAGAAUUUUUAAUACUUGUAGCUUUCUUAAUUCAAAAUAUACACUGUCAAUUUGACAGUCGUCAUUUCUCAAAAGAUAAAGUUAAUCUUCAUAUAUUCUUUUUCUUCGUUUUUAUUUUAUUAACAAUUUAUUAAGUCUUUCAGUUUUUUCAUCUUACAUAUAUUAUUUUAUUAAAAAUUUAUUCAAUCAACAUCUAGAUUCACCUAAAUUUUCCCACCUAACCUCUUUUUCGAUCAUCCUCAAAUCCUCUCUCUGCAACCUGCGCAAAUGCACAAUGCGCAACAGCACACAUGCGCAUUGUUCGUUGUUCAAUCGCAGCGCAACGAUAGCAGCACUCGAACGAGACGAGUGAUACGGAUAAAUAAUAAGUUUUCGUUUUCUUUUCCUAUCUUCCCUUCCCUCCUUCUCUCACUCCUACCAAAGAAAAAAGGAAAAAAGAAGACGGUGGCGUGCGUUAAACAAGAACGAUAAGAAGGAGAAACUUGGUGCAAAGCGCGUGCACAACUCGAAGGGGCAUGUCCUUCGGCGUAAAAGUCCUGGCCCAUGGGCCCAACGACCGUGUGUCGUUGUUAUCGGGCCUGCUUACGCCACAUUUCACUCGAGCUCUGCUCCACCUCGACUCGGUAUAUAGUAUAUAUAUAUAUAUAUAUAAGCAUUCGAUGCUUUUUUUUAUUUGGAACGACGUGAACCAGAUCUUUUUGCGGCGAACUCGCUGUAACGUUAACUCUUAAACGGCGGCCAACGCCUCGCCACUUUCUGCGCUCGCCUGUCCAUUUGCGGCGGCUUUGCCAUGUCAAUGCAAAUGUUCUUCCUGACAAUGUAACGACGCCGUGGAAGUACUAUGGGAAAAGUUUAUCCCGGGAUUCAUGGUAUGAGAAAAUACAUCUCGCCUAGCCUUCACAAUUCUUCUUCGAUCCUUGAAAGAUCGCGGAAACUAGAGUUUCGAAACGAUCGAUUAUUUUUGGGGAUGACGAGAAAUUCUGAUCUGCAUUAUGAAAAUAUUUUUAUGGAGGAUCGUUGUUACUUUUUUUUUCUUUGCAGAUUAAUAAACGAAAGAUGGUCCAAGAUCCAAAUGGGGACGAUGAAUUAUUACAGAUGUUUGGAAUUCAAUUUUUGGAACGACGAGAAAUAUUAUUUUGAAACGUUUUUAUGGAAGAUGAUCGUUACUUUUUUUUUUUUUUUUGAAGACCAAUAAAGUCGGUCCAAAUGGAGAGAAGAUGGAUUAUUGUACACGUUUGUGAAUAAUCAGAACUGUUUUUUAAUUUUCGUCUCGAAAUAUUUUUAUAUAUGAUCGUUAUUUUUUUUUCGCAGGCUAUAAAAAAAUAGUGGAUCCAAAUGGAGAAGAUGGAUUAUCAUAAUCGCCAAUUUGGAAUUCAAUUUUUGGAAAUGGCGAGAAACGUUUCUUUUGUUAUUUUUUUCUUUCUUUUUAUUUCUUUCGUUCGAUUGUGCCCGAACGAUAAUUGAACAUAUUCGAUAUCCGUCGUUCGCAACGUUCUGGAAACAAAUGGAGGGCAAGCUCGCAUUAGGCUCGUGUAUAUCGGGCAACUUUCAUCUGGACAUUUUUAUUCGACCUGCGGACAGCGUGGAGUCACCGUGUACAUCG
rnacentral:lncRNA from 1 species